rnacentral:rRNA from 1 species
GAUGAACGCUGGCGGCGUGCCUAAUACAUGCAAGUCGAGCGAAUGGAUUAAGAGCUUGCUCUUAUGAAGUUAGCGGCGGACGGGUGAGUAACACGUGAGUAACCUGCCCAUAAGACUGGGAUAAAUCCGGGAAACCGGGGCUAAUACCGGAUAACAUUUUGAACCGCAUGGUUCGAAAUUGAAAGGCGGCUUCGGCUGUCACUUAUGGAUGGACCCGCGUCGCAUUAGCUAGUUGGUGAGGUAACGGCUCCCCAAGGCAACGAUGCGGAGCCGACCUGAGAGGGUGAUCGGCCACACUGGGACUGAGACACGGCCCAGACUCCUACGGGAGGCAGCAGUAGGGAAUCUUCCGCAAUGGACGAAAGUCUGACGGAGCAACGCCGCGUGAGUGAUGAAGGCUUUCGGGUCGUAAAACUCUGUUGUUAGGGAAGAACAAGUGCUAGUUGAAUAAGCUGGCACCUUGACGGUACCUAACCAGAAAGCCACGGCUAACUACGUGCCAGCAGCCGCAGUAA